GGAAGUAGCUCAGCUUGGUAGAGCACAUGGUUUGGGACCAUGGGGUCGCAGGUUCGAAUCCUGUCUUCCCG
rnacentral:tRNA from 1 species